UAACAAUUCUUCAUGAUUUACAGAUAUGUUGACGACUAUCUUGUGUUUUUAAGUUUACCCGACAGUAGGCUUGACGUAGCUGUUGCAGAAUUAACUAACAUUUUUUUAAAAGAAUCUGGCGGACUAGAAUUCACUUCGGAAUUGCCU
rnacentral:lncRNA from 1 species